rnacentral:rRNA from 1 species
UGGGGAAUUUUGGACAAUGGGGGCAACCCUGAUCCAGCCAUGCCGCGUGUGUGAAGAAGGCCUUCGGGUUGUAAAGCACUUUCGGCCGGAACGAAAUCGCGCGACUUAACACGUCGUGUGGAUGACGGUACCGGAAGAAGAAGCACCGGCUAACUACGUGCCAGCAGCCGCGGUAAUACGUAGGGUGCGAGCGUUAAUCGGAAUUACUGGGCGUAAAGGGUGCGCAGGCGGCGUCGCAAGUCAGGCGUGAAAUCCCCGGGCUUAACCUGGGAAUGGCGCUUGAAACUACGAUGCUGGAGUAUGGCAGAGGGAGGUGGAAUUCCACGUGUAGCGGUGAAAUGCGUAGAGAUGUGGAGGAACACCGAUGGCGAAGGCAGCCUCCUGGGCCAAUACUGACGCUCAUGCACGAAAGCGUGGGGAGCAAACAGG